rnacentral:snRNA from 1 species
AGCUUUGCGCAGUGGCAGUAUCGCAGCCAGUGAGGUUUACCCGAGGCGCGAUUAUUGCUAAUUGAAAGCUGACUACGGUGAUAGCUGCACAUCUGUGAAUUGUACACUUUAAGUGGGUGAGUUGUAUGAUAUGUGAAUCGUAUCUCAAUAA